CAUCUGAGUCUUGAUUUUGGCUCAGGUCUAAUCUCAGGGUUGUGAGAUAGAGCUUGGGCUCCAUGCUGGAAGUGAAGCCUACUUAAGAUUUUCUCUCUCCCCUCUCCCUCUGCCCCUCCCCUGGCUCUCACUCACUGUCUCUUAAAAAAAUAUGAAAAAUUAAAAAAAAAAUUGCUAGAUUUGCCUGGCUAAGUUGUUCAUCUCUGCCUUUUCCAUUCUAUCAGAUGAGAGCAUAAAUUUUACCUUGCCCAUCCUGGACAAACUGGACUUGCUCUGGCACUUUUCACAGAGGUCCGAUGGAUGAGUAAGAGAUUUGUGUGAAAGUGAUUUCAGAGAAGGGUUGUUGGAUGAGCAUCGGGUGACACUGACAAGGAUGCACAGGGAAUAGAGGAAUCAAGCCAAAAGGUGGAGUGAAAUCUUUUGCAUUAGCUAUUGAGCAACAUGACCUGUUAGGAAAGUGGGUGGACUCAAGUACGUUGCUGGAUUCAUGCUCAUUACAUCUACCAGAUUUUGAAACUUUGUGGGGAACAUGCAUUUUGUAAACUGUGAGAGAGCUCAAUCAUCUGUGUUGUUUUACGACGAAAGAAACAAAUACCCAACAAUCUCUGUCAAAACAUGAGAAGGUCACACCAGAAGAAUGGGAUGAAUCAGAAGUAGACUCAUUAUCAUUAAAUCUUCAAUCACUGAGCUUGUACCAGCUCAGUUUCUUGAUUACAUUGCUAUAAUCAACUCCUGAUACCACCUUACAAAAGCAGAAGGAACUCUUCCUGAUGGAAGAUAAUAUUAUCUACUGCCCUUAUAAUUCUUUUGUGGGUCAUUUCUGGAAAAUAAUAGAAUAUUACUAGGCAUUCAAGGAGGAAAGAAGACAUAUUGAUAAUGAAAGCAAAGCACACACUAGAAGCAGACCUAUAUAUGAUCCGGAUAUUGGAGCUGGCAGACAAGAAUUGUGACUGAAAUAUCAAAAAUUAAGAAAUAUAUGAGGAAAAAAAUCAAUAAAAAUAUAUAACUUCAGUAAAGUAGAAAUCUAUACAAAUAAUAAAAUGGAAAGUCCAUAGCUGGAAAAUAUUACAUAGAACUAAAGAAUUCAGAAGAUGAAUUUAAUAACAGAUUGUACAAAGCAGAACGCAGGAUGAGAUAUUUCAAAAAUAGGUCAUAGAAAAUACUAGUUGCAGAGAGAAAAAAUAAAAAGUAAAAUUAAAAAAUAAAACAUUAUGAGACACAUGGGGAUACUAAAAAGUCUUAAUAUAAUUAUAAUUGGAAUCCCAGAAAGAGAUGGGAAAACAUGUAUCAGAGGCAAAAUUCAGAGAGCAAAUAAUUGACAAUUUUCAAGAUUUGAACAAGAUACAAAUUCAGCCAUUCAAAAAGCUUACCAAGUCUCAGGCAGGAUAAAUAUAAAAAAAUACACUAAGCACAUUAUAGUAAAACU